GGACAGGUGGCAGAGUGGUUGAAUGCGGCGGUCUUGAAAACCGCUUUAGCCGAAAGGCUAACGUGAGUUCGAAUCUCACCCUGUCCGCCA
rnacentral:tRNA from 1 species